GGGACUGGGACACAGGUGCUGCAUGGCUGUCUUCAGCUCGUGUCGUGAGAUGUUGGGUUAAGUCCCGCAACGAGCGCAACCCUCGCCCUUAGUUGCCAUCAUUUAUUUGGGAACUCUCUCGGGACUGCCGGUGAUAAACCGGAGGAAGGUGGGGAUGACGUCAAGUCCUCAUGGCCCUUACGGGGUGGGCUACACACGUGCUACAAUGGCGGUGACAAUGGGCAGCGAGUCGGCGAGGGGGAGCUAAUCUCCAAAAGUCGUCUCAGUUCGGAUUGCACUCUGCAACUCGAGUGCAUGAAGUCUGGAAUCGCUAGUAAUCGCGAUCA
rnacentral:rRNA from 1 species